rnacentral:rRNA from 1 species
CGGGUGUGUAAGCGCAGCGAUGCGUUGAGCUAACCGGUACUAAUGAACCGUGAGGCUUAACCUCACCACGCCGAAGC